UACGGAGGGGGCUAGCGUUGUUCGGAAUCAUUGGGCGUAAAGCGCGUGUAGGCGGUCCGGUAAGUCCGCUGUGAAAGUCGGGGGCUCAACCCUCGAAUGCCGGUGGAUACUGUCGGGCUAGAGUGCGGAAGAGGCGAGUGGAAUUCCUGGUGUAGCGGUGAAAUGCGCAGAUAUCAGGAGGAACACCUAUGGCGAAGGCAGCUCGCUGGGACGGCACUGACGCUGAGACGCGAAAGCGUGGGGAGCAAACAGG
rnacentral:rRNA from 1 species